rnacentral:rRNA from 1 species
CUCCAUGUGUAGCGGUGAAAUGCGUAGAUAUAUGGAAGAACACCAGUGGCGAAAGCGGCUCUCUGGUCUGUAACUGACGCUGAGGUUCGAAAGCGUGGGUAGCAAACAGGAUUAGAUACCCUGGUCAGUCCACGCCGUAAACGAUGAGUGCUAAGUGUUGGAGGGUUUCCGCCCUUCAGUGCUGCAGCUAACGCAUUAAGCACUCCGCCUGGGGAGUACGGUCGCAAGACUGAAACUCAAAGGAAUUGACGGGGGCCCGCACAAGCGGUGGAGCAUGUGGUUUAAUUCGAAGCAACGCGAAGAACCUUACCAGGUCUUGACAUCUUCUGACAAUUCCAGAGAUGGAACGUUCCUUCGGGGACAGAAUGAC